UUUUAAGUCCGCUAAAACCUGGAAAACACACAAAUUUCAUCAAUAUCUCCCUCCAUAGCUGAAUGAUGACUUGAAAUUAAACAAAAUUAAUAAUAAUGGCCAGCGGUGGGAAAGUUUCGUUCAAGGUUACGUUGACCUCCGAUCCGAAGCUCCCAUUUAAAGUGUUUAGUGUUCCUGAAGCUGCUCCCUUCACCGCCGUUUUGAAAUUUGCAGCGGAGGAAUUCAAGGUCCCUCCACAAACUAGCGCUAUUAUCACAAACGAUGGUGUAGGAAUCAAUCCUCAGCAGAGUGCAGCUGCACUAUAUGGAAUUAUCAUAUGCAAUCUUCACCUCCCUCAAGACUUGACAAAUGGACAGGCCAGGCAGGUAUAGACCGGGUUGAAAUGGGUAUGGGUAAAGCUGAUAUAAACAUGUGAUGGGGACCCAGCCCUUGCAGAGUGCUUUCUAAACUCCUGGAGAACACUGGCAACAAGAACUUCAAAGUCAUCAGAGAGCACUGUCCUCCCUUGCUUCAAGUCAUCGAAAUCUUUCCCUCACACAAUAAUGACCCUUUUCGAAGCAAAGGCUUCUUCUUGAAAUUCUUUGACUCUCGCCAUUCUGCUUAUGUUUCCAUCUCUCCUCAAGAUGUUGACCUCAUUUUUUUUUUUCAAUUGUGCAUGCCCCUGGGCGAAACAGUUCCACCCAUACAAAACAGUAAUUAUGGGUACAGGUCCAAAAACUUGUAACUUAUGCCUUUUUUGGGUGGGUACCUGAGGGCAGAAACCCGUUUUCCCAGGUCUACCUCCCACUCACCCCUGCCCCUCUUAAAUGAUAAAUCUUUAAGAAUCUAAAU